rnacentral:rRNA from 1 species
CAGUCGCCGCGGUAAUACAGAGGGUGCGAGCGUUAAUCGGAUUUACUGGGCGUAAAGCGUGCGUAGGCGGCUUCUUAAGUCGGAUGUGAAAUCCCUGAGCUUAACUUAGGAAUUGCAUUCGAUACUGGGAAGCUAGAGUAUGGGAGAGGAUGGUAGAAUUCCAGGUGUAGCGGUGAAAUGCGUAGAGAUCUGGAGGAAUACCGAUGGCGAAGGCAGCCAUCUGGCCUAAUACUGACGCUGAGGUACGAAAGCAUGGGGAGCAAACAGGAUUAGAGACCCCAGUAGUCCCUGUCUCUUAUAC